rnacentral:RNase_P_RNA from 1 species
GGAGCCGGGCAGGCAAUCGCGAGCUUGUAAAAGUUCGAGGAAAGUCCGAACUCCACAGGGCGGUGUGCCUCGUAACGCGAGGGAGGGGCGACCCUACGGAAAGCGCCACAGAAAAUAUACCGCCCCGCAGGCCGCGGGUUCGCCCGAGGCGGCGGGGUAAGGGUGAAAAGGUGCGGUAAGAGCGCACCGCGUCACUGGUGACAGGGACGGCAUGGCAAGCCCCACACGGAGCAAGUUCAAAUAGAAAAGCGUUCCCGCAAGGGAUAAGGGCGGCCCGUCCGAAGCUUUUGGGUAGAAUGCUCGACCGCAGGGGCGACCCUGCGGCUAGAUGAAUGAUUGCCGCUUCCGUCCCGCGCCCCGUGCGCCCCGGGCGGAGGAACAGAAUUCGGCUUACCGCCUGGCUCCGGCG